AAUGGGCGAAAGCCUGACGCAGCAACGCCGCGUGAGUGAUGAAGGUUUUCGGAUCGUAAAGCUCUGUCAGAGGGGAAGAAACUCCCGGGAGAUAAUAUCGCCUGGGCCUGACGGUACCCUCAAAGGAAGCACCGGCUAACUCCGUGCCAGCAGCCGCGGUAAUACGGAGGGUGCAAGCGUUGUUCGGAAUUAUUGGGCGUAAAGCGCGUGUAGGCGGUUGGUUAAGUCUGAUGUGAAAGCCCUGGGCUCAACCCGGGAAGUGCAUUGGAAACUGGCUAACUUGAGUACGGGAGAGGGUAGUGGAAUUUCGAGUGUAGGGGUGAAAUCCGUAGAUAUUCGAAGGAACACCGGUGGCGAAGGCGGCUACCUGGACCGAUACUGACGCUGAGACGCGAAAGCGUGGGGAGCAAA
rnacentral:rRNA from 1 species